GAUAAACGCUGGCGGCGUGCAUGAGACAUGCAAGUCGAACGAACGAGCUUGCUCGUUAGUGGCGGACGGCUGAGUAACGCGUGGGUGACCUGCCCCGAAGUGGGGGAUAACUGCCCGAAAGGGUGGCUAAUACCGCAUGUGGUGAUGUGUUCAUUCGCAUCAUCAAAGCAGCGAUGCGCUUCGGGAGGGGCCUGCGUCCGAUUAGCUCGUUGGUGGGGUAACGGCUCACCAAGGCGACGAUCGGUAGGUGGUCUGCGAGGACGAUCACCCAGACUGGGACUGAGACACGGCCCAGACUCCUACGGGAGGCAGCAGUCGGGAAUUUUGCUCAAUGGGGGAAACCCUGAAGCAGCAACGCCGCGUGAGGGAUGAAGGCCUUCGGGUUGUAAACCUCUUUUCUCAGGGACGAUGAUGACGGUACCUGAGGAAUAAGUCACGGCUAACUACGUGCCAGCAGCCGCCGUAAUAC
rnacentral:rRNA from 1 species